UUUUUUUUCCCCAAGAAAGCGUUUCCUGUCGUAACGUAACCAGAUGGGGAGGGUUCACUGGAAAUACCUCGGGAGAGGCUGGCAGAGCGGCGGAUGCGGGAAGCAGAUCCUCCCCGUAGCAUUGGCCCGCUUUGCUGGCCUGACCUGCUGAGGGCCAUCCCGGUGUCUGGCCAGGGACAGUGCCUCUGCUGUGCUGGGACUGAGCCAUGCGGGGCAGACCCCGGCACUGAGGGGCAUCGGCCAGGAGCACUGCCGCCCACCUCAACAGCACCGCUAUCAAAAAGCCCCCAGAAGAUGUAGAGCGGAGCAGUCCCUCACCAUGGCCAAGAGGGGCUCCGGCAGCCGCGCCAGGGGGGACAAGCCCGACGCCUUGGCCGCGCUGCAGGCUGCCAACGAGGAGCUCAGGGCCAAGCUCACCGACAUCCAGAUCGAGCUGCAGCAGGAGAAGAGCAAGGUCAGCAAGUUGGAAAGGGAGAAAAAUCAGGAGGUGAAGCAGAUCAAGGAGCACGAACAGCACAAAAGCACAGUGGUGGUCACAGAGCUCAAAGUCAAACUUCAUGAAGACAAAAUGAAAGAGCUCCAAGCUGUCCGAGAAACCCUUCUGAGGCAGCACGAAGCUGAACUGCUCAGAGUAAUAAAAAUUAAGGAUAAUGAAAUCCAGAGACUGCAGACCCUGCUCAACGCCGUACGUGACGGGGCCCCGGACAAGGUGAAGACGGUGCUGCUCAGCGAGGCCAAGGAGGAGGCCAAGAGGGGCUUUGAGGUGGAGAAGAUCAAAAUGCAGCAAGAGAUUUCCGAGCUGAAGGGGGCUAAGAAACAGGUGGAGGAGGCUCUCACCAUGGUCAUCCAAGCUGACAAGAUCAAAGCAGCGGAGAUCCGGAGCGUGUACCACCUGCACCAGGAGGAGAUCACCAGGAUCAAGAGGGAGUGCGAGAGGGAAAUCCGCAGGCUGAUGGAGGAGAUUAAGUUUAAGGACAGAGCAGUCUUCGUGCUGGAGAGAGAGUUAGGGGUGCGAGCCGGGCAUGCUCAGAGACUGCAGCUCCAAAAGGAGGCUUUAGAUGAACAACUGUCCCAGCUCAAAGAGUCUGACCGGCACCUGAGCAGCCCCAAGCGGGAACUUCCUUAUGCAAGUGGUGCAGGAGACGCUUCAGAUCACUCGGGAAGCCCCGAACAGCAGUUGGAUGAAAAGGAUGCCCGGCGCUUCCAGCUGAAAAUCGCGGAGCUGAGCGGGAUAAUCCGCAAGCUGGAGGACAGGAACGCGCUGCUGUCGGAGGAGAGGAACGAGCUGCUGAAACGUCUCAGAGAAGCGGAAAGUCAGUACAAACCCAUUUUGGACAAAAACAAACGCCUCAGUAGGAAGAAUGAGGAGUUGUCACAUGCCUUACGUCGAAUGGAAAAUAAACUGAAAUUUGUGACGCAGGAAAAUAUUGCCAUGAGGCAAAGAACUGGAGCAAUAAGGAGACCAAGCUCCCUAAAUGACCUUGACCACAGCCAGGAAGAAAGGGAAGUGGAUUUCCUGAGGCUACAAGUUAUUGAGCAGCAAAACAUCAUUGAUGAGCUCUCCAAGACCCUGGAGACUGCUGGCUAUGUGAAGAGCGUCAUGGAACGUGAUAAGCUGCUCCGGUUCAGGAAGCAGAGGAAAAAAAUGACGAGAAUUCCUAAGAAGCCCGUGGUGGAGACGUUCUAUGGCUACGAUGAGGAGGCUUCCCUGGAGUCUGAUGGUUCCUCCAUCUCCUACCAAACCGACCGCACUGACCAGACCCCCUGCACGCCCGAGGACGACCUGGAGGAGGGCAUGGCCAAGGAGGAGACGGAGCUGCGUUUUCGGCAGCUGACGAUGGAGUACCAGGCGCUGCAGCGCGCCUACGCCCUGCUGCAGGAGCAGGUCGGCGGCACCCUGGAUGCGGAACGAGAAGUGAAGACACGUGAGCAGCUCCAAGCAGAAAUACACCGGUCCCAGGCUCAGAUAGAAGAUCUGGAGAAGGCUCUGGCUGAGCAGGGACAGGACAUGAAGUGGAUUGAGGAGAAGCAAGCCCUGUACAGAAGAAAUCAGGAGCUGGUAGAAAAGAUCAGACACAUGGAGGCCGAGGAGGCUCGCCUGAAGCACGACGUGCAGGACGCCAAGGACCAGAACGAGCUGCUGGAGUUCAGGAUCCUGGAGCUGGAGGAGAGAGAGAGACGGUCCCCUGCCAUCAACUUCCACCACGGCCCCUUCACGGAGGGGAAGAGCCCUCUGCAGGUGUACUGUGAGGCUGAAGGGGUCACGGACAUUGUAGUAGCCGAGCUGAUGAAAAAGUUGGACAUUUUAGGGGAUAACGCCGUAAGUAACCUGACCAACGAGGAGCAGGUGGUGAUCAUCCAGGCCAGGACUGUCCUCACGCUGGCUGAGAAGUGGCUCCAGCAGAUCGAGGUGACCGAGUCUGCCCUGCAGCAGAAGAUGCUGGACCUGGAGAACGAGAAGGAGCUGUUCAGCAAGCAAAAGGGCUACCUGGACGAUGAGCUGGACUUCAGGAAACAGUCCCUGGACCAGGCUCACAAGCAAAUUCUGGAAUUAGAAGCCAUGCUCUAUGAUGCCCUGCAGCAAGAAGCUGGAGCCAAAAUUUCCGAACUUCUUUCAGAAGAGGAGAGGGAGAAGCUGAAGAGCGCCGUGGAGCAGUGGAAGCGGCAGGUGAUGAGUGAGCUGCGGGAGAGGGACGCCCAAAUCCUGCGGGAAAGGAUGGAGCUCAUCCAGCACGCCCAGCAGAGAAUUAAAGAGCUAGAAGAAAGAAUUGAAGGCCAAAAAAGACAAAUAAAAGAGUUAGAGGAAAAGCUUUCAUUCUUUGGUCAUAGCCCUUCAGGCCACAUGCACAAGCCCCCUGAGGCCACUCCAGCUGCUGCUGCUGUUGUUCCCAGAGGGCCAGCCCUGCUUCCCCAGACCCACAGAGAGACUUUGCCCUUCCCACCCGCCCGGAUCUGCCUGGUCCUCUGCUGCUGGCCACGGGAGGUGCAGCCUGUGGCGCUCCCGGUGGGGCUGGGCGAGGGUCCCUGCCGCCGCGACACCCCCGAGGGCUUUGGAGAGGAUGGAACUGAGCCGACGGGGAAAGGCGAAAUGUGCGCUCCUCACCCUCCCCCAGCCCCAGGAGUGCUCCCGGAGUGCCAGCCCUGCUGGGGGACCUGCCCGGGCUCUGCCAGGAGCACCCUCACUAAUUCAGAUACACUGGAUUUAUUCUGGUUCCCUGCUGAGCAGGUGGCAAAUUGCUUCUGUGUAGAAGUGCCCGUGUCCUGUUUGUAUGCCACACACUCGCGUUUGUUAUCCACAGCUCUUCAAAAACCUGUCUUGGAAGGAGAUUUUAGGAAGUGUUCCAGAGGAGUAGCUCAUGAAAAGAGGAAUAUGAAUGAAAAUGAAGUGGUUUGUUCCAAGGUAUUUCUUCGUUACACAGGCUAUGUCCCGUGCUUUGUUGAAUGUUCCAUGAGCCCAGUUUUAGGAAAAAACAUAAAGCUACAUUCAAGAAAUCAAGCUGUAAUUUUUUUUUUUUUUUUUUUUUUUUUUUUUUUUGGAGUUGUCAGUAAACCGUUAUGCAAAAAAUUAUGGAAUAAUUUAUAAUCUAUAACUAUCCCUGAACAAUGACAAAAGACCCAACACUGUCCCAGCAAAAAGUUCAACCUGGAAAAAGUGAUCUAAACCAGAUCAUCCCUGAUCCACGUGCACUGGGCUGGGAGAGGCAGCAAGAGGGAACAGAAGAGGUUUUCACCUGGAAGCUGUCACCUGCAAAAUGUCCUCACCUAGGGAAAAGGGAGCACAAGUCCCCCAGAGCCCGAGCCCUGGAGGCUGGCACGGGAACCGGGAAGGAAAAAGAAUCCUCUAGAAAAACGGCUGAGGAGGGGAAAAUCCAGAAGAAAUUCCAGAGUGUGAUUGGACAUGGGACUCACAGCUGAGCACCGAAAUGUGGGGCUGUGGGGCAAGGCCAGGAAGGAGGAAGGAGGCCAGGAAGGAGGAAGGAGGCCAGGAAGGAAGAACAAGGCCAGGUCCUGUUGGCAGCCACGGUCCCACGGCGCCCAUCCCUGGGGGCACGGGGCAGAAAGGGAUCAGAGCUCCCGGCAGGUACCUGUGCCGCUGGAGUUUAUAAAGCUGUGAGGAAAGCUCCUUGAUACUGAAACUCUCCAACCUCUUCCUGCACUCGUACAUCGACCGUGUUCUAGCCCAGCACAGGGAGCUCAGCUGCAGAAACAGGAGGAAGUGAGUUAAUCAGAGAAGUGUGAUGUUUGAACUGAAGGGAUGCGAUGCUUUAAGGCCAAGGUUGUGGAUUUUGAUAUCAGCAUAUGAUUCCAUCACAGAAUUGAUUUAGCAAGCUCCGAUUCUACCAGAGAUCGAUACCGGUGCUGGGAUUCUGGGAUGAGCUGCAUUUUUGCUUCUGCAUUUCACGCCCCAAAUGGGUCCAUUUUGAAUUCCACCGAAAUACUUCAUGUCUUAAAAUACUGUAUUUACUGGAAGCCCUUCAGGUGGUGGUUGAGGUGACAAAGGCCACGUUAGGAAGCGGCUGGAGUCCAUCUCACAGUUCUUCAUUCGGGACGUGCCCUUGCCUGGUGUGUUCGUGUGUCUCAAAUAUUGGUCCUGUUUUCUGAUUAACUUCCUUAAUCCUGGCGGUUUUAAGUACAAAGAAAAUUGUACAGGACAGGUCUGUGUGUAAAUAAGGGAUUGUGCUUACCUAUAUGUCACUAUAAAUAUGUAUGAAGUUUUGUACAUAGGAAAGGAAAAAAUGGCUCAAAGAAUGUUUUCAGAGCUGUUUCCUCCGUUUAAAUGCGCAGACAGGAGAUUGCCAUCCAUGUGCUCCUCGCUCCCUGGGAAGGGAUCUUGCUGGGCUCUGUCAGGAGUCUGAUCCUGACCCGGAGCAGGGCUGGGCUCUGUCAGGAGUCUGAUCCUGACCCAGGGCUGGGCUCUGUCAGGAGUCUGAUCCUGACCCAGAGUAGGGCUGGGCUCUGUCAGGAGUCUGAUCCUGACUCAGGGCUGGGCUCUGUCAGGAGCCUGUUCCUGAUCCAGGGCUGGGCUCUGUCAGGAGUCUGUUCCUGAUCCAGGGCUGGGCUCUGUCAGGAGUCUGAUCCUGAUCCAGGGCUGGGCUCUGUCAGGAGUCUGAUCCUGACCCAGGGCUGGGCUCUGUCAGGAGUCUGAUCCUGACCCAGAGUAGGGCUGGGCUCUGUCAGGAGCCUGUUCCUGAUCCAGGGCUGAGCUCUCUCAGGAGCCUGUUCCUGACUCAGGGCUGGGCUCUGUCAGGAGUCUGUUCCUGAUCCAGGGCUGGGCUCUGUCAGGAGCCUGUUCCUGAUCCAGGGCUGGGCUCUGUCAGGAGUCUGAUCCUGAUCCAGGGCUGGGCUCUGUCAGGAGCCUGUUCCUGACCCAGGGCUGGGCUCUCUCAGGAGUCUGUUCCUGACCCGGAGCAGGGCUGGGCUCUGUCAGGAGCCUGUUCCUGACUCAGGGCUGGGCUCUGUCAGGAGCCUGUUCCUGACUCAGGGCUGGGCUCUGUCAGGAGUCUGUUCCUGAUCUGGGGCAGGGCUGGGCUCUCUCAGGAGUCUCUUCCCGGCCCGGGGCCGGGCUGAGCCGUGUCGGGUCUCGGCUGCUGCCUCCUCCCUCUGGCCCCUGUGCAUCUCUGACAAACAGCGUCUGCCAGCCCCGGUGGGACAGUGCCCGGCCCGGGGCAGACCCCCCGUGCCUGGUGCGGGGUGCAGCAGCCGGAGCAGGGGGUGCCGCGGGCCGCCCCUCGCCCGCCGCCUGCGUGCGUCAGGCGUGGACUCCUUGUUCAAGCUGCUGGAGGAUGUGGCUGUUGUUUCCAGUACUCUGCUCUAUAAUAUCUGUAGCCUUCAGUGAUUCCUUGAGUGCCUUACGUGGCUUGUGGACAGAAUUCCUGACCAGGAGGAGAAAACGCCCCUGGACCGACGCUGGCUCCUCCGCAGCCCUGUGCCCCUCGCCGGCAGCGCGGCUGUGCCCAGGAGGGAUUUAGCUUCGACUCAGGAAAUCGCCGUGUGAAUAUGUGUAUUAAACCCUGUAUGAUGUGCUGUACAGUUUAUUAAAAGAGACUAAUGUAAACUUAUGCAAAACGUAACGCAGAGAAACCGGAGGGGUUUGGUCCGCUGGCUGGCGUGCCGUGACCCGUGUCCUCUAAUCCUACUCCAGAAUCAUAUCCAAAAUAUGGAAUGCUGGCUUCAGUGCUGCGACAGCAACCGACAGCCCGAACACGGGGCUGGAGCGAUCGACCAGAGAAUUUUACAGAUAUUUUUGUAUUGUGAUUCCUAUGAUAUAUAUCGAGAGACUUUCUAUUCCUUUGUAAAAUACAUAAAUUAUUGUCAGCU